GACGAACGCUGGCGGCGUGCUUAACACAUGCAAGUCGAACGAGAGCGUAGAGAAAGCUUGCUUUUUCUACAAUCUAGUGGCAAACGGGUGAGUAACGCGUAAACAACCUGCCCUACGGAUGGGGACAACAGCUGGAAACGGCUGCUAAUACCGAAUACGUUCCGAAAGUCGCAUGACUAUCGGAAGAAAGGAUGGCCUCUAUUUAUAAGCUAUCGCCGGAGGAGGGGUUUGCGUCUGAUUAGCGAGUUGGAGGGGUAACGGCCCACCAAGGCGACGAUCAGUAGCCGGUCUGAGAGGAUGAACGGCCACAUUGGAACUGAGACACGGUCCAGACUCCUACGGGAGGCAGCAGUGGGGAAUCUUCCGCAAUGAGCGAAAGCCUGACGGAGCAACGCCGCGUGAGUGAAGACGGCCUUCGGGUUGUAAAGCUCUGUUAUACGGGACGAAUAAUCUUGUGGUUAAUACCCAUGAGAAGUGACGGUACCGUAAGAGAAAGCCACGGCUAACUACGUG
rnacentral:rRNA from 1 species